rnacentral:rRNA from 1 species
UCGAGAAUAUUCCUCAAUGGGCGAAAGCCUGAAGGAGCGACGCCGCGUGCAGGAUGAAGGGCUUCGGCUCGUAAACUGCUUUUCCUAGGGAAGAACAUUGACGGUACCUAGGGAAUAAGAGGUUGCUAACUCUGUGCCAGCAGCAGCGGUAAUACAGAGACCUCAAGCGAUAUCCGGAUUUAUUGGGCGUAAAGGGUCCGCAGGUGGCCGUUCACGUCGGUGGUCAAAUGUACGGGCUCAACUCGUACAC